CACUAACCUAAUUGUGAUUCGGGGUGACCCUUAAAGAAAAGUUUCCGUGCCUGCUCAGUUGACUAGAUUUAGACGUACUAGUCGGCACUACCAGAGGGGGAGAUCGGACCAGACAAGGGCAACACCAAGAGCACGUGUCGCACUUAGCAACCCAGCAGAACCAAUUUUGUUGCUAUUUUACUUAUCAGCCGCUGUCUUGCGAAGAACAACAUCUGGCAUAGCCUCGGAAAACGGCGUCAAGCGGGUGAAACGCUUACUAUUUAUGCAGCACCAUCGGGACCGCAUGCACUAAGCAUAUAGUGUAACCUGCAGAGAGUAACAAAGGAGCCGACAACAGCGAUCAUAAUCGUCGUAUACAUUGGGCCC
rnacentral:sRNA from 1 species